GAUGAACGCUGGCGGUAUGCCUAACACAUGCAAGUCGUACGAGAGUUUUUAACUCUAGUGGCGGACGGGUGAGUAACACGUGAGAAUUUGCCUUUAGGAGGGGGACAACAAUUGGAAACGAAUGCUAAUACCCCAUAUGCUUUCGAGUGAAAUGGAUUUUAUCCGCCUAGAGAGAAGCUCGCGGCUGAUUAGCUUGUUGGUAAGGUAAGAGCUUACCAAGGCGACGAUCAGUAUCUGGUUUGAGAGGACGAUCAGACACACUGGAACUGAGACACGGUCCAGACUCCUACGGGAGGCAGCAGUGGGGAAUUUUCCGCAAUGGGCGAAAGCCUGACGGAGCAAUACCGCGUGAGGGAAGAAUGCCUAUGGGUUGUAAACCUACUUUUUCAGGGAGGAAUAAAAUAGACGUGUACC
rnacentral:rRNA from 1 species